rnacentral:rRNA from 1 species
AUUGAACGCUGGCGGCAGGCCUAACACAUGCAAGUCGAGCGUGCGGCGGACGGGUGAGUAAUGUCUGGGAAACUGCCUGAUGGAGGGGGAUAACUACUGGAAACGGUCGCUAAUACCGCAUACCAUCAGAAGUGCCCAGAUGGGAUUAGCUAGUAGGUGGGGUAACGGCUCACCUAGGCGACGAGCCCUAGCUGGUCUUAGAGGAUGACCAGCCACACUGGAGUUAAGGCACGGACCAGACUCCUACGUGAGGCAGGAGUGGGGAAUAUUGCACAAUGGGCGCAAGCCUGAUGCAGUCAUGCCGCGUGUGUGAAGAAGGCCUGGGGGUUGUAAAGCACUUUCAGCGGGGAGGCGUUACCCGCAGAAGAAGCACCGGCUAACUCCGUGCCAGCAGCCGCGGUAAUAC